rnacentral:tmRNA from 1 species
GGGGCCGACUGGUUUUGACAGCGAGACCAAUGGCAUUGUAAGCAUGUCGAGCGCUGGGAUACAGCUCGUUAAUCUCAUAUUUCACACUUUUAAUUGGCGAAAACAAUUACGCUCUUGCCGCAUAAUCUGAAUUAUAGUAGGAUUUGCCUCGUCCCUACAAGGUAGGGAAGCGAGAUGUUCCUGGGUAGCCCUUGUUGAUGGCGACCCAUUUAGGAGCACCAGAAAAGUCAACAUAAGGUUGUUGUUCGCUUUGGCAAUAACACUAAAACUUAAGAAGCUAAGCGUUUGUUAGGCCGUUUCCGGUCAGGCCUGCGUCGAAAAUUAAUCGGAAACUAAACAUGUAGAAAGCACUGGCGUUGCUUGUUUGGACGAGGGUUCGAAUCCCUCCGGCUCCACGA